rnacentral:rRNA from 1 species
UCCCGGCGGUCCAAGUCGCAUCCACAAUUAUUGGGUCUAAAACAUCCGUAGCUUGUUUUGUAAGUCUCUUGUGAAAUUUCAAAUCUCAAGUUUGAAGCGUGCAAGAGAUACUGCGAAACUAGAGACCGGAAGACGCAAAGAGUACGUUUGAGGUAGUGGUAAAAUAUGUUAAUCUUGAACGGACUAACAGUGGCGAAGGCGCUUUGCGAGUACGGAUCUGACAGUGAGGGAUGAAGGCUAGGGGCGCAAAAGG